UAGGAAAUAGUGUAGUGGAAGCACGGGGAGUUUUGAUCUCCCUAGCAUGGGUUCAAAUCCCCUUUUCCUAA
rnacentral:tRNA from 1 species